rnacentral:rRNA from 1 species
AUAUCAAUAAGCGGAGGAAAAGAAACUAACUAGGAUUCCCUCAGUAACGGCGAGUGAAGAGGGAAGAGCCCAGCACCGAAGCCUGCGGCAGAUUUGCUGUUAGGCAAUGUGGUGUGUGGGUCGGCUAGCGGGACCGUCACUCCACUCGAAGUCCAGCAUUGAGUAUGGUUUUCACUGGAUUUGGCCCAUAGAGGGUGAGAGGCCCGUACGGGUGGAGGCUCAGACAUGUAAGACGGUUCACCAGGUCGACCUCAGAGUCGGGUUGUUUGAGAUUGCAGCCCAAAGUGGGUGGUAAACUCCAUCCAAGGCUAAAUACUAGCACGAGUCCGAUAGCGAACAAGUACCGUGAGGGAAAGUUGAAAAGUACUCUGAAGAGAGAGUAAACAGUACGUGAAGCCGCAUGCAGGUAAACGGGUGGCGUCAAGCUGCGAGCCCGGAGGAUUCAGCUGACUGGGAUGUAGUGUACGCGCCUGGUGCGUCAAGUGGCCAGAGUAAGAUGUGGUAGUUCUCUCCUCUGCUGGGAGGGAAGUGCGGUUGAGGUGGUGCCUUCUCCGUUUCGGCGGUGUUGGUGCAACUCAAUUGUCGCUAUGCGUGCUGGUUUGUCGCCAGUGCAUGCUACUCGUCUGUUGGGCCGCCUAGUCAGUGCACUUUCUCCGUGGUGAACACCACGACCGGUGGUAUUGCCAGUCUGCUGUAGUCAAGUUAUACCCCUCUCUUGUCUCCUCCUGCUAUAGCUCUGUCUGCUACUGCAUGUGUUGUGUAACAGCAAUGUGUGUAGUGGUGGCUGAGUGGGGUGGGACUGGUAGAUGGAUGAGUGGGUAUAAUCGCAGACGGAUUGAAUGAACGGCGUAGUGGUGCCUCGGUACUGCUGCGUGUUAUCGUGCAUUCGCCGUUGUAAAYGAGACCGGCUGGGUGUGUUGUAACUGCACCUGUUGGUUUUUCUCGGCGGACUAUGGUGGUGAAAAUGACUGUGCAAGGCACCGGGGUUAUCCACCUCAUUGCUCUCUCUCUCUCGUUUGAGCAAUGGUAUUCGGCACGCACGUUACAGGUGCAUUGUUUGGAUCUGGGGCGCGUGGCUGCCUGUAGGUGUUGGACCUGACUGUCGUGUUGCCUACAAAAAGUAGGUCCGAUAGUGGUUGCAGACGCCUUGCAGUGUGCAGCUAUUAUAAACGCUGUCUUCCAGGGUGCCUGUAAUACCGGGGGUGAAAUAGUCAGUGGUGCUGUGGUAGACGAGCUACCCGACCCGUCUUGAAACACGGACCAAGGAGUUUAACAUGUGUGCGAGUCAAAGGGUCCUACGAAACCCCGAGGCGCAGUGAAAGUGAAGUUCGUGCUGUGUGUACGCGCACUGACACUGACACGCAGUGCAGCACGACGUGGUGAGAUCCCGCUGUUAGUCGCAGUAGCCAGGUGUCGUUAUUAAAUCGCCAGGCAUAAGGGCAGUGGGCGCAUCACCGGCCCGUCCCAUGAUGUGGUCAUAGGUGUAUUAUUGGUCAGUGUAGGCUGUGUGUGUGGCAACAUGCAUGCAGAAUGCAUUGGCUAGCCUGUGCGUCAUCGGGGCGGAGCAUGAGCACACAUGUUGAGACCCGAAAGAUGGUGAACUAUGCUUGCGUAGGUUGAAGCCAGAGGAAACUCUGGUGGAGGACCGUAGCGAUUCUGACGUGCAAAUCGAUCGUCAAACGUGAGUAUAGGGGCGAAAGACUAAUCGAACCAUCUAGUAGCUGGUUCCCUC